rnacentral:lncRNA from 1 species
GAAAUACCUUGGGAAUAUUUUAAAAACAAUUUAAAAACUGUUCCCGAGGCUGAAAAAAAAUAUGGGCUGUUGUCAUCUGGCAAAAUUGUGAGUAAUCAUCACGAUUCUCUGAAGUGAUCAUUUCACAGUUUCCUAUUCUGCAACUCCUGGAGCCGUCUAGUGACACUGCUGCCAGAACCGUUAAGAGAGGACUUCCACUCCCACCUGCUGCAGACGCAUCGAAACUGCAGACGAAGUAGAACAAGGGAAAGCAAAAGUAUUCCUGAGCCUGAUAAACCAGGAAAUCCCAGGUGCCACAGGUGAAAAGAGAAUUCAAAGCGAGGCUGUAAUUGGGAACUCAAGGCCUGUGGUGGUUUCAGAUCUGAGUAUAGGCCCCAAGGGCAUGGACCUGAGGGUCUCAUGGAGAAACAGGAGACGUGGUCUUAGGUCUGUGUAAAGAAGGAAGGUGGAGUUGGUGUCCUCCUGUACAAAAUCUUGAAGCUGUCCGAUCUGUGAAAAGAAGACUAGAAAAGCCUUGCCCACUGGUCUGAGGGGGUGCAAAGGAACGUGCUGUCCUCCUGGGACUGUGCAUAAUUAGGAAUAAGAAAAGAGAAAAGCUGUGCCUCACACUGGUGGUAGGUUAAAAGUUUACACUUCUCCCAGUGCAACUAACCCUCAAGCCAAGAAGUUAGCAUAAAAUCUGGCCCAGAACUAUGGGGGCCAGUGGAGCCCUCAGACGUAAGUGUACAACUGUCCUGCAGAGCAGAUGAGCCUGGGGACUCUCACAGAAGAAACAGCUCAUGCUAAGGGUGGACUUGCAAUAAAACAUUGCAGCCGCAUGAGGAAAUGAAUCACUGUGGAGGAGCUUUGGCAGAUGUUGCAAAUAGGAGAAAGGUGCUCCUGGGACAUAGGACAGAAGUCAUUUGGUUAAAAUUACUAGAGAUAAAAGGGGUAAGACUGCAAUGAACAAACACCACAGGUUGUAAAAACACAUGGAUUUGGAAAGGAACCAGAUGGAAUUUCUAGAAACCUCAAGCAAACUCAACAGACAGGUUAAACAGCUGAGUGGAUAUAAAUGAAGAGAAAACUAUUGAUCUUUGAGGAGUUCCGAGGAAAUUGCUUGUAAUUCAGUACUGAGAGAUAGGGGUGGAAAAUGAGUGGAUAAGACCCACUUUAGUAUGAGAAAGUUCACCAUUACCGAUUUCUGUGAGCUUCCUGAAAGAGGAAAUAGAGUGGGAGAGUUACUCUCCAAAGAUAUAAUUGUUGACAGUUUUCCAUCAUAAACGCAAGGCUUGAGUUUUUAGGUCCAAGAAGCACAGUGAACCCAAGCAGGAUAAAUAAAAACAAAUCCACACCUAGACACAUGGUACAUGAAACGUUGGAAACGAGACAGAAGCAACCCGAAGAAAGUCAUUGUCUAAAUAUCUGGAAGACAUUUUGUUGGUAGCAGAAGAUGAUAGAAUAAUAUCUUAAAUGCUUUGGGGGAGAAACAAACAUCAGCCUGGCAUUCUGUAUCCAUAUGAAGUAAUAUUCAAGAGUAGAAGUGAAAUGAAAGCUUUGUUGAUAAAGACAAAGUUGAUCGCUUGUAGACUUUUGCUGAAGGAACUACUAAAAGAUGUAUUUCAAGACGAAAGAAAUUGAAAGUCGAAGGAAGGAGUGAAAUACAAAUAGUGAAGUGCAGACAGGGUUCAGAACCUAGGAGAUCAGCUUAAACAGAAUCCUAGUAGGGCUACAAGUAGGCAGGCCACGUUAGAGUCUGGGGAUUUGGCUUAGCACUUGGGAUCGCAAAGAUGAAGGAUUCAGGUAAAGGAAACUGAGCAAUAGUAGAUAAUAACAAGAUUCUUGCCAGAUAGAACCAAAUAUCAAGACCUUCAUGUUUAGCCAACACAUUCCAAAAUGACCUCCUUUACAUUCCGAAUUGGGGUCUUAGCUGUGGAAAAAUAGGACUUGGAUCUUAGCUAUCAGAGAUUCAGUGCACAAGGGUAAACUACGUUUAACAACAUUUGAGGGAAAGCAUACAUGUUGAGGGAGGACAGUGGUUAAGAUACGAAAAAGUUCAACAGAUGAGGAUAAAUGGCAGAUGAGAAUGUAGACAUUUGCUGUUUUGUGUCAACUUGAUGUGAUUGGCUAGUUGUUUUUGACCAACUCCUGGACUUUGAAAAUUACUUACAUCUAGUAUCACAGUAGUAUAGUUAGACAACAGUCAUCUGCAUCUCUAAUUUUACUGUUCUCUGUGGGAUCAAAAGUGUGAAAUGUAAGUUGUGGUAUGAUUCUAUUUAGAUGGAUACUUUGUAGCAAUUUAAAAUCUACAGUUUAGCAUUUUAUUAUCUGAAAAUACAGCUUAAGAGGGUUUUUAAAAACUACGGUUCUUUGCAUUAAAACUUGCUCUUUCUUGGGCAAAUAAACUGAAUUUCAUCAUAGAUACUAUUGAC